GGAGAGCGGCGGCGGACGUAACGCCCGCCAACCCGGUCAGGUCCGGAAGGAAGCAGCCGUAACGGGAUCGGUGCGGGUCGUCGUUCGUUCUCCCAC
rnacentral:SRP_RNA from 1 species